AGAGUUUGAUCAUGGCUCAGGACGAACGCUGGCGGCGCGCUUAACACAUGCAAGUCGAGCGAGAACCGAGGCUUCGGCCUCGGGGACAGCGGCGAACGGGUGAGUAACACGUGGAUAACCUGCCCUCGGCACCGGGAUAGCCCGGGGAAACUCGGAUUAAUACCGGAUAGCCCUUUCGACUUUCGAGUCGGUCGGAAAAAGUAGCUUCGGCCUCUGGCCGAGGAUGGGUCCGCGGCGGAUUAGCUUGUUGGUGGGGUAAUGGCCUACCAAGGCUUCGAUCCGUAGCUGGUCUGAGAGGACGAUCAGCCACACUGGGACUGAGACACGGCCCAGACUCCUACGGGAGGCAGCAGUGGGGAAUCUUGCGCAAUGGGCGAAAGCCUGACGCAGCGACGCCGCGUGAGGGAAGAAGGCCUUCGGGUUGUAAACCUCUUUCAGCAGGGACGAAGCUACUCGGGUUAAUAGCCCAGAGGGUGACGGUACCUGCAGAAGAGUCCGA
rnacentral:rRNA from 1 species